rnacentral:lncRNA from 1 species
UACUGUUGUUCACAAAUUCUCUCUCUGACUUAAGUAUCGGAGGGUUCCCCUCCGGAUAUAAUUUCUGUUUGUGAGGAUGCUAUUUUACAGGUACUCUUCACCGGCAAUAAGCAACAGAAAAUUGGCCACAAUAGCUUGGCGCACCAAGUAGGAGGCAGUAAUCUGCAAUCAAUCAUGCCGAAAAUCAGAGCCUAACUUUCUACUGAUUUUGCGAGGCACUCUUCCUGUCGGAAAGAUCUUCCUCCCCUACCUCCGGUAGCAGAGCCUAGUUCCUCGCGUCCUGUGGUCACCACGGACGCCC